CUCCGUCGCGAUAUUAAUCAUUUCCCGAACCCAAUCUCAUUGUGUAAACCCUAACCCUAGCGCUCUCGCUUUCGUGCUCUCCUUCGCCAUGGCCAACAAAAAGCGAAAGCUUACCUCGCCCGCUGUCGCCGAAGCACCCGCCGAAGCACCUGCCGAAGAGCCUAAAGAGGGUAAGUCUCAAGAAGAGGAGAAUCAGCCCCCUACCGAGGCCAGCUCUGACCCUCCGAUCCAUGAGAAUUUCCAUCCCGAUGCCCCCUCCACCGACCUUGGAGAAGCAGCUGCCGAGGCCGAAAACGGAGUCGACGAGGACGAGGACGAGAACGACAGAGACCCGAAUACGAUCCAGCAACUCUUAGAGCCUUUCACCAAAGACCACCUCAUCGAGCUACUCCGCGAUGCGGCCGUGAAGCAUCCUGACGUGCUGGCAGAGAUACAUCGCAUAGUCGACUGCGAUCCUGUCCACCGCAAGGUAUUUGUCCACGGCCUUGGUUGGGAUACCAACGCCGAGGUUCUCACUGCUGCUUUUCGCCAGUAUGGCGAGAUCGAGGACUGCAAUGCGGUCAUAGACAGGGCAACGGGCAAGUCCAAGGGUUACGGAUUCAUAUUAUUUAAGCAUCGUGCUGGUGCACGUCGCUCACUUCAGGAGCCCCAGAAGAAAAUUGGCAACAGGAUCACUUCUUGUCAGCUUGCCUCAAUUGGCCCUGUGCCACCACCUGCACCUCCUGUAUCAGAGUACACUCAAAGGAAAAUAUUUGUUAGCAACGUUGGGGCAGAGCUUGACCCCCAGAAACUGGUUCAGUUCUUUUCUAAGUAUGGGGAGAUAGAGGAGGGACCGCUAGGUCUGGAUAAGGUGUCUGGGAAGCCAAAGGGUUUUGCGUUGUUUGUUUACAAGACCGUUGAGAGUGCUAAGAAAGCAUUGGAGGAACCGCACAAGAACUUCGAGGGUCACAUACUGCAUUGCCAGAAGGCAAUCGAUGGGCCGAAGCCAAACAAGCCAGGAUUCCAUUUUCAAAGUCCCGUAGCUCACCAUAUUGGCCUGCAUCAUGUUGCUGGUGGAAUACAUGGGUCACAUAUCCCACGGAACCACAAUCCCUCUCUUUUUGGAGGGGUAGGAAGUCAUCUCUCAAGUGCUACAAGUGCUGGGCACCUCAUGGCCCCUUCAGGUGCUGGACACCUUAUGGCCCCUUCAGGUGCUGGAGUGGGGUUCAACCCGGAUGCUCAACCAGCUGCUGCAGUGGCUGCUGGGUUAAAUCCUGUAUUAGGGCAAGCUUUGACUGCGUUACUUGCGAAUCAAGGAUCUGGGUUGGGCUUGACAAACAUCUUGGGAAACUUGGGGUCUGGUGGGGUGGCUGGAACUCCUGGGGCAUUGUCAAAUAGUUCUGCACAUGGUUUGCUUGGUGGUGGCUAUGGUGGUGGUGCUGUUGGGAACUUGAAUGCUGGGAUGAUGGGAGGUCAUAACUCGCAGGCAUAUGGGCAGGGUGGCUAUGGGACUCCAUCAACUGGACAGGGAGGAGCUGGUAGGAGCCAAACAGGACUUGGGCAAAUGGGCAACCUAGGCCAUUACAUUGGUCAUUAGGUAAUCCCAGAUGAUUUCUAGGUGCAUAAAUCUGUUUUCUACUGGGCCAAGAUCCUUCUGAAGUUCUGCUUCUGGGCUGAAUGAAAAUAUCUUUUAUUUGGUUUGCCAUUGAUUUUAAAAACUGAAGUUUUCAGCACCUCUAGUGGUACUUAAAUUUACUUUAAUCCUUUUAUGUAGAAUUUUGAGCUACUGUAUUAGCUUUUAAAAGCCUAUAUAAAUGGCUUCUUGUUAUAUUGUAGAAGAACAUAUUGAACUUAAAUCUUAGACUUUUAUGAUUUAUUUAAGUGCUCUUUACUAAUUUUCUAGUCACAGGUAUAUAUAUUUUAAUUGAUAAGAAACCUAUUUUGUUUAUGAUUUUGCAACUUUACUAAGCCCUACUUAUCUUUCGAAAAUGGCUGUUGAUUGUGAAUACUGGAUUGCACUGCUUGUCCAAAAGUUGUAUUUUUAUUCAUUUAUUUAGUUUUGUAAAAUAUGGGUUUGAAAAAUUCUUCUUGUUUGAUUCCUUCUGUGCACCAUAAUAUCUUUGGAACUUAUGUAUAUUGAUGCAAUUGGACUAGUUAAAAUAAAUUACCUAAUUUUGUGUGAAAUCUCAGCACUUGUCUGAUACCAGUGCAUUAUUCUCUGCACAUAAUUUGUCUAGUGCUCUGUCCAACAUAGUAUUUAGAAAUCUGCACUCGAUAAAAAUCUGCGAGUGUGAAAUAUAAAGUGAAUGUCGGUGAUAUAGAUGAACAAUCCAGACCAGAUUGAGAUAAGAUGGAGAAUUGAAGCUAGAAAGCUAGCAGAAUUUGGGAGACGGGCACGAUGAUGAAAUCUGUAUUUAUUGGUGGUAUGGAGUUCCCAUUUUAAAUUAAUUGUUAUAGUCCUCUUUUCUUUUUUUGUUUUUGAUGGGAAUUAUAAUGGUCCUCUUAAUCAUGCCGAUGGUAGUGAUGAUGAUAUGACAGUAAUCAUUAUAUUUUGGGUUUUUUAUAGGACGCUAACUUUCCUACUAUUUGUUGAGACUGAGCUCAUGACUUUGCCUUAGUUGCUUAAGUUUACAGUAGAGAAUUCUGCCAAGACAAAAAUUUAGGCAAUCGAGUGUGUUGAAGGCAAGGAAUAUGACAAGGUAUUGCAGGAGGAUAGCUCUCGAAGAUACGUGAUGCAAUUAAGAGAAAUUGGCAGGAUAUAUUGUUGAGGACGUUUCUUCCACGGUCGAGUCAAAGAAACAUACAGUUAGCCGUGCAACUGGUAGCCUUAGUUCCUUGAACUAUAGAGUAUCGCAGGUAAGCAAAGGGUAACCGACACCAAUAGUGAGCUAAA